AAGCCAUGAUGUGGGCACUGAGACCAAUAGCCCUUGAACCUCUCCAAGCUUCACUAAAGCCCUCUAGGUUCUUCUGCUGAAAGCUAAAGAUCUCAUUCCUGAUCUU
rnacentral:snoRNA from 1 species